AAAUAAGAAGCAAAAAAAAUUUGUGAUUAGUUUCGACCUAGUUUUUGGUAUAAAAUACCCUUAUUUU
rnacentral:tRNA from 1 species